rnacentral:rRNA from 1 species
UUCCGGUUGAUCCUGUUCAGAGGUUACUGCUGUCUAGAUUCGACUAAGCCAUGCGACUUGAAUGUUCUUCGUGAACAUGGCGGACUGCUCAUUAACACGUGGACAACCUACCCUUGGGUCCGGCAUAAUCCUGGGAAACUGGGAAUAAUUCCGGAUAGGUCACCGAUGCUGGAAUGCGCGGUGGCCGAAAGCUCCGGCGCCCGAGGAUGGGUCUGCGGCCUAUCAGGGUUGUAGUGGGUGUAACGUACCUACUACCCUACGACGGGUACGGGUUGUGAGAGCAAGAGCCCGGAGAUGGAUUCUGAGACACCAAUCCAGUCCCUACCGGGAGCACCAGGCGCAAAAACUUUACAAUGCGGGAAACCGUGAUAAGGGGAUCUCGAGUGCCACCAUAUAAUGUUGGCCGUCCAGAUGCCUAAAAAGCAUCUGUUAUCAAGGGCCGGGCAAGACCGAUGCCAGCCGCCGCGGUAACACCGGCGGCCCGAGUGGUAACCGCUAUUAUUGGGUCUAAAGGGUCUGUAGCCGGCCAGGUAAGUCCCUUGUGAAAUCUGGCAGCUCAACUGUCAUGCUGCUACGGAAUACUGCUUGGGUUGCUACCUGUAGAGGUGAGAGGUACCUUGAGGGUAGGGGGUGAAAUCAUGUGAUCCUCUAGGGACCUCGACUGCCGAACGCUCCUCAGCCGAACGAGCUCUACGCCACAGAACAAACGCUCGGAUCUCGACCCUCCAUGAAAUAUCCCCCGUAGUCCCUAGCAUUAUACGAUACUCGACUAGGUUGUCUGUCCACCGUGCUGACUGAGCAUCUGCUGCCGUAUUGCCACAGAACGAAGCAAUUCGAGCUCACCAUGGGCAUGAUAUCGGACUCUACGGACUGGCAAACUAUACAUCUGACGGGAUGCGAGCACAGGCACAAAUCGUCGAACGGACAGCGUGCCAAACCUGUCGGUAUCAUGUUCAUAGCUGUUUCCCUUGUGUGAAACUGUAAUCCGCCUCCACAUUUCCCACCACCACAU